CCUACGGGUGGCAGCAGUGGGGAAUAUUGGACAAUGGGCGAAAGCCUGAUCCAGCCAUGCCGCGUGUGUGAAGAAGGCCUUCGGGUUGUAAAGCACUUUCAGUGGGGAAGAAAGCCUUGGGGCUAAUACCCUCGAGGAAGGACAUCACCCACAGAAGAAGCACCGGCUAACUCCGUGCCAGCAGCCGCGGUAAUACGGAGGGUGCGAGCGUUAAUCGGAAUUACUGGGCGUAAAGCGCGCGUAGGCGGUCUGAUAAGCCGGUUGUGAAAGCCCCGGGCUCAACCUGGGAACGGCAUCCGGAACUGGCAGGCGAGAGUGUAGGAGAGGAAGGUAGAAUUCCCGGUGUAGCGGUGAAAUGCGUAGAGAUCGGGAGGAAUACCAGUGGCGAAGGCGGCCUCCUGGACUGACACUGACGCUGAGGUGCGAAAGCGUGGGUAGCAAACAGGAUUAGAUACCCCGGUAGUC
rnacentral:rRNA from 1 species